rnacentral:rRNA from 1 species
AGCAGCCGCGGUAAUUCCAGCUCCAAUAGCGUAUAUUAAAGUUGUUGCAGUUAAAAAGCUCGUAGUUGAAUUUCGGGAUUAGUACGUUGGUCGUGCCUUCGGUACGUACUGGUGUUACUGGUUCCUACCUUCUGACGAACCAUCAUGUCAUUAAUUUGGUGUGGCGGGGAAUCAGGACUGUUACUUUGAAAAAAUUAGAGUGUUUAAAGCAGGCUCGCGCUUGAAUACAUUAGCAUGGAAUAAUGAAAUAGGACGUUGACCCUAUUUUGUUGGUUUCUAGGAUUGACGUAAUGAUUAAUAGGGAUAGUUGGGGGCAUUAGUAUUCAAUUGUCAGAGGUGAAAUUCUUGGAUUUAUUGAAGACUAACUACUGCGAAAGCAUUUGCCAAGGAUGUUUUCAUUAAUCAAGAACGAAAGUUAGGGGAUCGAAGACGAUCAGAUACCGUCGUAGUCUUAACCAUAAANNAUGCC